GCAAGUCGAACGCUUUGUCUUUAAUUGAUCUGACGAGCUUGCUCUGAUUUGAUUCUAUCUGACAAAGAGUGGCGAACGGGUGAGUAACACGUGGGUAACCUACCUCUUAGCAGGGGAUAACAUUUGGAAACAAGUGCUAAUACCGUAUAAUACCAACAACCGCAUGGUUGUUGGUUGAAAGAUGGUUCUGCUAUCACUAAGAGAUGGACCCGCGGUGCAUUAGCUAGUUGGUAAGGUAACGGCUUACCAAGGCAAUGAUGCAUAGCCGAGUUGAGAGACUGAUCGGCCACAAUGGGACUGAGACACGGCCCAUACUCCUACGGGAGGCAGCAGUAGGGAAUCUUCCACAAUGGGCGCAAGCCUGAUGGAGCAACGCCGCGUGUGUGAUGAAGGGUUUCGGCUCGUAAAACACUGUUAUAAGAGAAGAACGGCACUGAGAGUAACUGUUCAGUGUGUGACGGUAUCUUACCAGAAAGGAACGGCUAAAUACGUGCCAGCAGCCGCGGUAAUACGUAUGUUCCAAGCGUUAUCCGGAUUUAUUGGGCGUAAAGCGAGCGCAGACGGUUAUUUAAGUCUGAAGUGAAAGCCCUCAGCUCAACUGAGGAAUGGCUUUGGAAACUGGAUGACUUGAGUGCAGUAGAGGAAAGUGGAACUCCAUGUGUAGCGGUGAAAUGCGUAGAUAUAUGGAAGAACACCAGUGGCGAAGGCGGCUUUCUGGACUGUAACUGACGUUGAGGCUCGAAAGUGUGGGUAGCAAACAGGAUUAGAUACCCUGGUAGUCCACACCGUAAACGAUGAGUGCUAGAUGUU
rnacentral:rRNA from 1 species